rnacentral:pre_miRNA from 14 species
UCUUCGGAGACGAGGGUAGUUGCUGAUCCCGGACGAGCCCCCAAAUGAAAGACCCCCGGGAGCGGGGAGACCCUCACUCAAGUCUCGGGAUGAUGCGACCCCCCAAGAACUCACGUGAGACC